rnacentral:lncRNA from 1 species
UUAUAAUUGAAUCUGGCAUACUUAGGCGCUGUUUGUUCAGCCUCUAAUUUCGUUGGAAAUUUAGUUCCAUGCUGCAGGCAUUCUCCGCCAGGUUACGCACAGUCGCGCUUGAUCUUACACGCAAGAUCUCAAAAUCUUCACACGGCGUCACAGGAUUAAAUUUGCUUGCGCGGCGGUAUCGGUCGACUUUAUUGAGUGGCCACGCGAGGUGAGGAUGACUGGGCACGCCCAAAAGAGUCAACACUGUAUAGUCUUAACCAACUACUAGCAGCGUUCAGAUUGCCUGGAGUUGAUAAGAAUCUCACACAAUCUCACAGAAGCUGUCACCGACCUGGGCCCCGUUCAAUCGCCAUCUCCCUACAGAAGGCUGUUCCGUGGCUCGAUCCUAGGGGGAGCCGGCGCGGGCACUGUGAUGCUGUCUGACAGCACCUCUGUUUUCGCCAGCUCGCUGCACAGUCUGACUCCCGGUCAGCUGCUGAACGUCAAGGAAAUGGGCUUGCUGGGAUGGCUGCUGGUCGACCUGGGGAUCAACUGGCUGGGCUGGGCGGUGGCUGCAGCGAAGAAG